ensembl:lncRNA
GGCCCGAGUAGGGGAGGGUCACUGCGUCUUCUGGCCACGCUGCACCUCCUGUUGGAGCGGCCUGCCUGGCGCCCACAAAGCAACCUCAUGGGUGGCAGGAGGACCCUGAGGCAGGAGGCAAGCUGUCCAGGUCCACUCCUACGUGUGACAGCCAUUGGCCAAACCACGUCCCCUCUGGCCUGUGGGUGCCUCUCACCUGCCUCGUGUUGAGCCCCCUGGGGAUCUAGGAGGCCUUUCUUGCCUCGAGGUACCCGCCUGCGAUCCUGUCCCUAGGUGAGAACAACAAAUUAACCUAAAUUUGAGCAUCAACUUGCUUUUCCCCCAGGGGCUCCAUUUUCCACAGCGAUUUCCAGAAUAGCGCUCAGACCAACGGCCCAUGAGAUGAGCUAGCUGGGCUUGGGAGCUGUGUGGUCCAGGACGCAGGAGAGGGCAGGAGGAGGCCGAUGGUUGAUGCCCUGGUGUUGGAGGUUGGCAGUGCUCUGGUUCCAGGCCUGCCCAGGCUGGCUCUGGGUCUUGGCUCAGCUGCUCCCAGCCCCCCACCCCCAGGUGUCCCUGAUGGUUCCCAGGGGCCGCCCACGGCAUCCAGUCUCUGCCAGCAUCAGCCCCAGGUCACGUGCAGUGGCUGUCGUGCACGUGGAAGAUGGGGAUUUAAUAUCGUGUAGAAACCGUCAUCAGGGCAGACACGAGCUGCUGUGAGCAGGGCUGAGCUGUGUGACAAGGGUCGGACCCAAAGGCCCGCUCUGCCUGGAGGUCGGUGCAGGCAACCUCAUCCAGGCUCCUCCCUGCUCUGUGACAGUAACGCAGUCACCGUGUCCCCAGCUUCCUGCGCAGUGUUUAUCCCUCCCAGGGCUACGGUUUGAGUGCAUCCUCCGGUGUUCAUGUGCUGGGACGAGGCCGUUAGGUCACACGGGCUCUGUCCUCCUGAGUGGAUUAAUGGCGUUUUUGUCAUUGCCAGAUGGGUUUGUUAUGAACACGAUUUGCCCUCUCCCAUGCCUUUCCCAUCCGUGCUUUCUUGCUCUUUCCCCUUCUAGCAGGGGAUGCUGCUACCCCAGGUUCCCUCACCCCGGGACUUCCCAGCUUCCAGAGCUGUCAGAAGUAAAGCGCUACUCUUUAUAAAUUACCCGG